rnacentral:rRNA from 1 species
AUUGAACGCUGGCGGCAGGCCUAACACAUGCAAGUCGAGCGGUAGCACAGAGAGCUUGCUCUCGGGUGACGAGCGGCGGACGGGUGAGUAAUGUCUGGGAAACUGCCUGAUGGAGGGGGAUAACUACUGGAAACGGUAGCUAAUACCGCAUAACGUCGCAAGACCAAAGUGGGGGACCUUCGGGCCUCAUGCCAUCAGAUGUGCCCAGAUGGGAUUAGCUAGUAGGUGGGGUAACGGCUCACCUAGGCGACGAUCCCUAGCUGGUCUGAGAGGAUGACCAGCCACACUGGAACUGAGACACGGUCCAGACUCCUACGGGAGGCAGCAGUGGGGAAUAUUGCACAAUGGGCGCAAGCCUGAUGCAGCCAUGCCGCGUGUGUGAAGAAGGCCUUCGGGUUGUAAAGCACUUUCAGCGGGGAGGAAGGCGGUGAGGUUAAUAACCUCACCGAUUGACGUUACCCGCAGAAGAAGCACCGGCUAACUCCGUGCCAGCAGCCGCGGUAAUACGGAGGGUGCAAGCGUUAAUCGGAAUUACUGGGCGUAAAGCGCACGCAGGCGGUCUGUCAAGUCGGAUGUGAAAUCCCCGGGCUCAACCUGGGAACUGCAUUCGAAACUGGCAGGCUAGAGUCUUGUAGAGGGGGGUAGAAUUCCAGGUGUAGCGGUGAAAUGCGUAGAGAUCUGGAGGAAUACCGGUGGCGAAGGCGGCCCCCUGGACAAAGACUGACGCUCAGGUGCGAAAGCGUGGGGAGCAAACAGGAUUAGAUACCCUGGUAGUCCACGCUGUAAACGAUGUCGAUUUGGAGGUUGUGCCCUUGAGGCGUGGCUUCCGGAGCUAACGCGUUAAAUCGACCGCCUGGGGAGUACGGCCGCAAGGUUAAAACUCAAAUGAAUUGACGGGGGCCCGCACAAGCGGUGGAGCAUGUGGUUUAAUUCGAUGCAACGCGAAGAACCUUACCUGGUCUUGACAUCCACAGAACUUUCCAGAGAUGGAUUGGUGCCUUCGGGAACUGUGAGACAGGUGCUGCAUGGCUGUCGUCAGCUCGUGUUGUGAAAUGUUGGGUUAAGUCCCGCAACGAGCGCAACCCUUAUCCUUUGUUGCCAGCGGUUAGGCCGGGAACUCAAAGGAGACUGCCAGUGAUAAACUGGAGGAAGGUGGGGAUGACGUCAAGUCAUCAUGGCCCUUACGACCAGGGCUACACACGUGCUACAAUGGCAUAUACAAAGAGAAGCGACCUCGCGAGAGCAAGCGGACCUCAUAAAGUAUGUCGUAGUCCGGAUUGGAGUCUGCAACUCGACUCCAUGAAGUCGGAAUCGCUAGUAAUCGUAGAUCAGAAUGCUACGGUGAAUACGAUCCCGGGCCU